CCCGCCAAAGACGGUAACAGCCCGGUAGUUGAAAUGGCUUUCCCUCCAGAGUGGAUCCUGAGUACGGCGGAACACGUGAAAUUCCGUCGGAAUCCGGGAGGACCAUCUCCCAAGGCUAAAUACUCCCUAGUGACCGAUAGUGAACCAGUACCGUGAGGGAAAGGUGAAAAGCACCCCGGAAGGGGAGUGAAACAGUUCCUGAAACCGUGUGCCUACAAGUAGUUAGAGCCCGUUAAUGGGUGAUAGCGUGCCUUUUGUAGAAUGAACCGGCGAGUUACGAUUUGUUGCAAGGUUAAGCGGAAAAAGCGGAGCCGUAGCGAAAGCGAGUCUGAAUAGGGCGCAUAAGUAACAGGUCGUAGACCCGAAACCAGGUGAUCUACCCAUGUCCAGGAUGAAGGUAAGGUAAUACUUACUGGAGGUCCGAACCCACGCACGUUGAAAAGUGCGGGGAUGAGGUGUGGGUAGCGGAGAAAUUCCAAUCGAACUUGGAGAUAGCUGGUUCUCUCCGAAAUAGCUUUAGGGCUAGCCUCGAGGUAAAGAGUCAUGGAGGUAGAGCACUGUUUGGACUAGGGGCCCUUCUCGGGUUACCGAAUUCAGAUAAACUCCGAAUGCCAUGUACUUAUACUCGGGAGUCAGACUGCGAGUGAUAAGAUCCGUAGUCGAAAGGGAAACAGCCCAGACCACCAGUUAAGGUCCCCAAAUAUAUGUUAAGUGGAAAAGGAUGUGGGGUUGCUUAGACAACCAGGAUGUUGGCUUAGAAGCAGCCACCAUUGAAAGAGUGCGUAAUAGCUCACUGGUCGAGUGACCCCGCGCCGAAAAUGUACCGGGGCUAAACAUAUUACCGAAACUGUGGAUGAACCUCUUCGGAGGUUCGUGGUAGGAGAGCGUUCUAAGGGCGGUGAAGUCAGACCGGAAGGACUGGUGGAGCGCUUAGAAGUGAGAAUGCCGGUAUGAGUAGCGAAAGAAGGGUGAGAAUCCCUUCCACCGAAUAUCUAAGGUUUCCUGAGGAAGGCUCGUCCGCUCAGGGUUAGUCGGGACCUAAGCCGAGGCCGAUAGGCGUAGGCGAUGGACAACAGGUAGAGAUUCCUGUACCAGUGCUAAUUGUUUAACCGAUGGGGUGACACAGAAGGAUAGGGAAUCGCACGAAUGGAAAUGUGCGUCCAAGCAGUGAGUGUGAGAAGUAGGCAAAUCCGCUUCUCGCGAAGCAUGAGCUGUGAUGGGGAAGGAAAUUAAGUACGGAAGUUCCUGAUUUCACGCUGUCAAGAAAAGCCUCUAGGAAGAGUAGUACUGCCCGUACCGCAAACCGACACAGGUAGAUGAGGAGAGAAUCCUAAGGUGAGCGAGAGAACUCUCGUUAAGGAACUCGGCAAAAUGACCCCGUAACUUCGGGAGAAGGGGUGCUCUAUUAGGGUGCAAGCCCGAGAGAGCCGCAGUGAAUAGGCCCAGGCGACUGUUUAGCAAAAACACAGGUCUCUGCAAAACCGUAAGGUGACGUAUAGGGGCUGACGCCUGCCCGGUGCUGGAAGGUUAAGAGGAGUGCUUAGCUUCGGCGAAGGUACGAAUUGAAGCCCCAGUAAACGGCGGCCGUAACUAUAACGGUCCUAAGGUAGCGAAAUUCCUUGUCGGGUAAGUUCCGACCCGCACGAAAGGCGCAACGAUCUGGGCACUGUCUCAACGAGAGACUCGGUGAAAUUAUAGUACCUGUGAAGAUGCAGGUUACCCGCGACAGGACGGAAAGACCCCGUGGAGCUUUACUGCAACCUGAUAUGGAAUGUUUGUACCGCUUGUACAGGAUAGGUAGGAGCCGAAGAGACGUGUGCGCUAGCAUACGAGGAGGCAAUGGUGGGAUACUACCCUGGCUGUAUGACCAUUCUAACCCGCCACGCUUAGCGCGUGGGGAGACAGUGUCAGGUGGGCAGUUUGACUGGGGCGGUCGCCUCCUAAAGAGUAACGGAGGCGCCCAAAGGUUCCCUCAGAAUGGAUGGAAAUCAUUCGCAGAGUGUAAAGGCACAAGGGAGCUUGACUGCGAGACUGACAAGUCGAGCAGGGACGAAAGUCGGGCUUAGUGAUCCGGUGGUUCCGCAUGGAAGGGCCAUCGCUCAACGGAUAAAAGCUACCCCGGGGAUAACAGGCUUAUCUCCCCCAAGAGUCCACAUCGACGGGGAGGUUUGGCACCUCGAUGUCGGCUCGUCGCAUCCUGGGGCUGUAGUCGGUCCCAAGGGUUGGGCUGUUCGCCCAUUAAAGCGGCACGCGAGCUGGGUUCAGAACGUCGUGAGACAGUUCGGUCCCUAUCCGUCGCGGGCGCAGGAAAUUUGAGAGGAGCUGUCCUUAGUACGAGAGGACCGGGAUGGACACACCGCUGGUGUACCAGUUGUUCCGCCAGGAGCAUCGCUGGGUAGCUAUGUGUGGCAGGGAUAAACGCUGAAAGCAUCUAAGCGUGAAGCCCCCCUCAAGAUGAGAUUUCCCAUUUCUUCGGAAAGUAAGAUCCCUGAAAGAUGAUCAGGUAGAUAGGUUUGGAGUGGAAGUGUAGCGAUACAUGGAGCGGACAAAUACUAAUCGAUCGAGGACUUAACCAAAA
rnacentral:rRNA from 1 species